rnacentral:rRNA from 1 species
AUACGGAGGGUGCGAGCGUUAAUCGGAAUUACUGGGCGUAAAGCGCACGCAGGCGGUCUGUUAAGCUAGAUGUGGAAGCCCCGCGCUCAACGUGGGAGGGUCAUUUAGAACUGGCAGACUAGAGUCUUGGAGAGGGGAGUGGAAUUCCAGGUGUAGCGGUGAAAUGCGUAGAGAUCUGGAGGAACAUCAAUGGCGAAGGCAACUCCCUGGCCAAAGACUGACGCUCAUGUGCGAAAGUGUGGGUAGCGAACAGGAUUAGAUACCCCUGUAGUCCUAGCCGUAAACGAUGGAUACUACAUGUUGUGCAUUACGUACAGUAUGGUAGCUAACGCGUUAAGUAUCCCGCCUGGGGAGUACGCUCGCAAGGGUGAAACUCAAAGGAAUUGACGGGGGCCCGCACAAGCGGUGGAGCAUGUGGUUUAAUUCGAUGCAACGCGAAGAACCUUACCAGGACUUGACAUACUACAAAUUCUUUU